UUCUUUUUCCUUCUUUCAUCUCUCGUCAUAUCUAUGUAUAUAUUCUUUCUCAAAACAAUUCUAUAUUGUUUAUAAAUAAUUGGCCUGCCUCGUUUUAAGUAUUGUAACCCUCGAUCACCGCUACCCUUUCCGAUUGAUCUGAGCCUCAGGGCUCUGCCUGACUAAGUUGUUGGGAUUUGGUCUCGGGAUCGGGACAAGGUUGAUUUAGGGGUACUAUACUUAACACGAGUGCAUUAUAUAUUUUUCUAUAUCUUAAAAGUUAUACCCAAAAUUUAUACCAGGAGUCCUUCUAGUUGAACCCUAAAGUUACACAGUGAGUCCAUUCCUUUUCCCCACCAUUCUACUCUCUUUUUAUAAGUUACCCAAAACUAUUACUUAUUAUUUAUUAUUUCUAUUUUAUAAACAAACUUUCAUGAAAAGUCAUGCCUAUUAUUUUAUUUACCCAAUAGGGAACCAUAGUUGAGACACCCAAGUAAUCCUGCACAACCCCUAAAAUUUCCAGAACAAUCAGAAUCAGGAUCAGGGCCCCUAAAACUCAGGGGGGGCAAAACCCUAGUUACGAUAAUCUAAAUAACUUUCUGGCCGUUUAGAAUUUUAUAAUUUCAUCGACUCAGCUAAGCUACUUAGACACGAAGCUACCUAUAGAAAAUAGGUUACCACUCGCGUAGCGCGACGCCCAUGGGGGGUACCCCUCGCGCUACGCGACGGUGUCAAAAUUCGGGUAUAAAUAGAGGGGGUUGGGACUUGAAUUCUGUCUUUGGAACGACGUAAAUCCGAGUUACGUAGAUCAAGUUAUCACAGAAACAGUCCAACACACACACUAUAUCGAAUCGCUGCCGCAGAACAGGGUAAUUACUCGAUCGCUAUUACGAUUCAGUUUCCGGGAUCAAUAUACCCAAAGAAUGUCUAAGUGCCGCCCACAUUGGGUUAUGCUUUGUCGUUGUCGAUAAUUCGAUAAUGAGUUGAAGCAUUGUACUUUGUCGUUGUCGAUAAUUCGAUAAUGAGUUGAAGUACUAUACUUUGUCGUUUGUCAUUUUGAUAAAUGAGUUGAAGUAUUGCACUUGGUCAUUCAUUGUGAGAAUUUGAUCUCGGGAAAUUAUCGUAACUGCUGUAUUGAGCAUUAACCCGGUUUUUGUGAAAAUCGUUAAGAUUGAUUUAGGUUUUUCACCAAUACUUAUUCCAUUAUGUUAAACCACCAGAAAUACUCCCAACUACACCCUUACAAUCAAAUAAACUAUUAAAUCAUCAGAAGAUCCAGAAUAAUAAAGUGCAUGCUUAAUUAUCGGAAGAAAUAGAAUCAAGAAGUUGUUAACUCAAUCCUGCAUGCUGAUUUGUGAGUCAUUCUCUUUUUAUUAACUGUUUUACAAUACUCCAAAUCAUGUUUCAAAGUUAUAAUUACAGUGAUUAAAUUUAUGUAAUCACCAAAUUACAGCCGGUAUGUGGGGUAUUGUGCACAGUAUUAUUAUUGUUUUAAUCACAUUAGGUGGGCGAGCCUAAAAGAAAGUGAUAUACGUCACUCAUUGGGCCAGCCAAUGGUGAUAUGACCACAGUCACAGAGCUGGUCUGUGACAAAUACCUAUUCUUGAAAUGUUGGUAAUUACAGUAGAUUGGAGUAAGGAUUGGAUCCGGCACUAAAAGACUUCAAGAAGUGGCUUAUUUUAUUAAUUAAAUCAACUUAAGAAAUAUUGUUUUCAUUGAAAGCUACCUUUGUAAAACAUGGAAUUUAUUCCAUCUAUUUCAAUAAAAAUCCGGUGUUUCUAAACUCUGAUAUUUUCCUAACUCACGGUCCUGAUGAAAUUUCCGCUGCAAUGUGUUUUUCAAAAUAAUCACCGGUACCACUGGACUGCUCGCGGCUUCCGAUUCCGGCCAGGAUGGGAUCGGGGGUCGUGACAGAAGGUGGUAUCAGAGCUAAGCCACUGCUUUAAGCCUAUAAGUGUUGUGAUAACAAUACUUAAAUAAAAGAGUUAGGAGAUUGCUAUUAACUGGUAGCACAUCUGAUAGAAUUUAGACUUGAACAUAAGAAAAGAUGCCUUAGUAUAAACCAAGCCACAUGUUUAGAGCAAGUAGGUGUUAUAAUAAUAAUACCUAAGCUUAAACGGAAAGUUAGAAACUUAAUAUUAUCUGGUAACAUUCUGAAUGAUAUUUAGACUUGAACUUAAGAAUUUUGCCUUAAAAUAAACUUUAAGGUAAAUUACUUAUAUAAAUAUAAUGUAAUGGAUACUGGUAUGUCAUAAGAAUGACGGUUAGCAAGCAAUAGCACUUAAUUGCCAUUUAUUCUUGCUUAUUGAUAUUAUUUGGUCUAGAAUAAGAUAUAUUAUGGGAAUACAAAUUUCCUUGAUUCUGGAUAAAAGUCCUAAUAAAAGAGACACUUUUAAAAUUUUGAAAAGAUACUAUUUAUGGGAAAUAGAAAAUUUUCUCCGGCAAAACUGGGUAUAGAGUAGCAGACUCUCCAGCUUGUCCGGAUAUACUGAAAUUGCCUCUCCGGCGCGAACCGGGUAAGAUGGGGUAUAUAAAAUGUCAAACAAAUGACAAGAUUUCCCUAAAUAAGUAUCAUGGCCAGAUAUCAGACUUGUUUUUGAAAAUAAGAAUCUGUUAAAUACAUUAACCUUAUAAAGGGUAUGUAUAUUACAGCAUGUGAAAUAUAUGAUUAUAUAGAUAUGUAUAUCUAUAAGAAAUUUCAAAAGCCAUAACAAUUGAUAAUUAAGGAUAAAGCACAAGUGUAUGUGUCAAUAAUAAAUCCAGAUUCCUUUAUUAAGAAUUUCUUACCUAUAUUGAUAUCAAACAUUAUUUUAUUUGAUCAUCUACCUCGUAAAUGAGAACUCUUUAAAAUUAAGGAUAUCAUCAAAAAUAUAAGAAUUUCCAAAACAUUACCAUAGACUAUUAAUACAAGUAAGAAGCAUAUAAAGUUGUGCUAAUGCACAAGAAAACACAUGAACCUUAAAUUAUACGUCCACAGACGUCAAAGUUUAUCAUACACAACUUCCAAGGCAAGACCUUUGAAAAAUAUAAAUUAGGCACGAUGACACCUAUGCUAAAUCCAUCAGUAACAGAACUCCUAAUUAAAAAUCGGCACUUUGCCACAUGAUCUUACAAACGAUCAAAAUAUCGCUGAGGUACGUUGGAACAAUAUUUCACAAACAUCAGUGCAUAGUCUAACCUGAGUCAUAAUUAUCAGCACUACAAAAGAAGUCAUAUAGUUUUGCAAAUUCCCUAUUUCAUUUCACUUCAUUCGACAUUCUCUGAUAAUGUCAUUUAACAAAUAGUUAUCACACGAAAUUUCAGAUAAGAAGUUCUUAUAUUUCUUUCGUUGCAAUUCUAACUUCUGCCUAUAAUAAGUUGACUUUCGUGUUCUUUUAAUGGUCAUCAUACCAUAAAGAAUUCUUUCAUAAUAGCAAAUAUUGAUCCAUUUCGUUUCUUGGUAAAUCCACACGAUACACAUGCACUAUUUGUUGCGCAUGUGGUUCAUUUGAGUUAUAAGACCCUAGGAAGGCAUCAUUUCAAUUUGUUGUUUUAUCAAAAGUUCAAAUAUCGUUCCGCUAUACUUGAUCUUUGCAUUGUAAACCGCGUUUUUACAAAGCAAUGACUCUUCAAUAUCGAAUCAAUGAAUUUAUUAAAAAACUCGAUUUUCUUUUAAAAGGGAUACAUGGUUUCUUUGUGAUCAUGUUUGAACUUUCUUAUUAAAACUCGUUUUAUCCAAACCCAGUUAACUUGCUCGCAAUACAUACUCAAUUCAAAGUCCCAUAUGAUGGAUUGAAACCAUCAUAUUCAAAAAUAGUCCUAACAAGCACUUCAAUUCUCUUAAACCAUAACAUGCUUGUUUAGUCUUCGAAUUCAUCAAAUCAUCUCUUUGAUCACGGGCACUUUGUAACGACAUUU
rnacentral:lncRNA from 1 species